GAAAGCAGGACAACCCACAUGGCCAUUCCCUGUAACACAUGUUCAGCUAUUCUUGAAGAACCCAGAUGACAUGGGGUAGAUAAUGUGCUAAGGGCUGAAAAUUCAUGUCCACCUCAGGAAUAGAGAUGAAGCUGCAAUCAACUACCAGACUAGAGAAAAAAGAAAGAAAGGAAGAGAAAGAAAAGAAGAAAGAAAAAAAUAACAAAGAGAGAAAGAUGAAGAGAAAGAGGGAGAGAGAUAAACAGGCUAUUGUAUAAUACCUCAUGAAAACUGCUGUAAAAAGAUGAGCAGAGUGUGAUAGGUAAUGGAAGAGAACCUCCUCAUCAGGAAGAAAAAUAGAGGAUAUGAUGUCACUUCAUUUCCUCUAUGAAGUUAUAUCUAAACUGAUACCUAAAAGGUGCAUAAGACUUAGACAAAGAGUGUGAUGUAUAUGUGUGUGUUCAUAUCUGAGGAACUGCCAGAACUGA